rnacentral:rRNA from 1 species
ACCGUCCCCCCAUUCUCAAACUUGGAAGUUGUGCCCUUGAGGCGUGGCUUCCGGAUCUAACGCGUUAAGUCACACCGCCUGGGGAGUACGGCCGCAAGGUUAAAACUCAAAUGAAUUGACGGGGGCCCGCACAAGCGGUGGAGCAUGUGGUUUAAUUCAAUGCAACGCAAAGAACCUUACCUACUCUUGACAUCCAGAAAACUUACCAAAAAUGGUUUGGGGCCUUCGGGAACUCUGAGACAGGGGCUGCAUGGCUGUCGUCAGCUCGUGCCGG